AGGACGAACGCUGGCGGCGUGCUUAACACAUGCAAGUCGAGCGGAAAGGCCCUUCGGGGUACUCGAGCGGCGAACGGGUGAGUAACACGUGAGCAACCUGCCCUUAGCUCCGGGAUAGCUCCGGGAAACCGGAAUUAAUACCGGAUAUGACCUAGGCCGACAUCGGCUGUGGUGGAAAGUUUUUCGGCUGGGGAUGGACUCGCGGCCUAUCAGCUUGUUGGUGGGGUAAUGGCCUACCAAGGCGACGACGGGUAGCCGGCCUGAGAGGGCGACCGGCCACACUGGGACUGAGGCACGGCCCAGACUCCUACGGGAGGCAGCAGUGGGAAUCUUGCGCAAUGGGCGAAAGCCUGACGCAGCGACGCCGCGUGGGGGAUGAAGGCCUUCGGGUUGUAAACCCCUUUCAGCAGGGACGAAGCGAAGUGACGGUACCUGCAGAAGAAGCGCCGGCUAACUACGUGCCAGCAGCCGC
rnacentral:rRNA from 1 species